rnacentral:lncRNA from 1 species
CUGCUUUCCAAAGUGGUAGUAUCAUUUUGCAUUCCAAUCAGCAAUGAAUAAGUUACUGUUGCUCCAUAUUCUCACCAGCAUUUGAUGUUGUUAGUUUUGGAUUUUGGUCAUUCUAAUAGUUUGUGUUUUGUAGAAACGUAGAACCUGAGAAAACAACUGGAAUGCGUAAGCUCAUUCUGGAGUUUGUUCUGAAGAAGUAAGGUGCAUAUGAUGGAACAGGAAGAAUGAAAAAUGCAACGAAGAAAAUAAAAUGCAACUUAAUUAUUAAAAGUGUUACUGCUGGGGCAACUGGGUCUCUUCCAACAUGCUCUGAUAAAACUGUGUCUUAGAAUCCUUCUUCUGAAGGAUGAGCACCCAAGGCAAUUAUCCAUGACUUCCAUGUCUUUCAGGCCACACCGAUGCAAGGGGUGAACUCCCAAGACUUUGCGCAUCUCUGUCCCUGUGGCUCUGCAGAAUACAGCCCCCUCGGCUGCUUUCAGAGGCUGGCGUUGAAUGCCUACAGAUUUUCUAGGUGCAUGGUGCAAGCUGUUGGUGGAUCUACCAUCAUGGGAUCUGGAGAACAGCCGUCCUCUCCUCACAACUUCACAAGGCAGUGCCCCAGUGGGGACUCUGUGUGGGGGCUCCAACUCCACAUUUCCCCUCUGAACUAUCCUAGCAGAGGUUCUGCAUGAGGGCUCUUCCUCUGCAGCAGGCUUCUGCCUGGAUGCCUGGACAUGCAAGCAUUCCCAUACAUUCUCUGAAAUCUAGGGGGAGGCUCCCAAGCCUCAACUCUUGCUUUCUGUGUACCCACAGGCUUAACACCACAUCAAGCCGUCAAUGUGUAUACUUUGCACCCUCUGGUGCAGUGGCCUGAGAUGUAUCUGGGGCUCUUUUAGCCACAGCUGCAGCUGGAUCAGCAACCUUUAGAGACUGUGAUCUCCUGGCUGUGCACAGAGUCUGGUGUGGGGAUGGUAGUUUCUCCUUAUGAGGCAUUUUGGUCACAACAACUUAACAAUUCUAUAGGAAGUCCAAACUUUCCCUCAUCUUCUUGUCUUCUUUUGAGCCUUCCACGCUGUACUAACCUCUUCCCAUUACCUAGUUCCCAAGUCCCUUCCACAUUUUCAGGUAUCUUUAUAGCAAUGCCCCACUCCUAGUAUAUUAGUCUGUUUUCAUGCUGCUGAUAAAGACAUACCCAAGACUGGGCAACUUACAAAAGAAACAGGUUUAAUUGAACUUACAGUCAUGUGGCUGAGGAAGCCUCACAAUCAUGAUGGGAAGCAAGGAGGAGCAAGUCACAUCUUAUAUGGAUGCCAGCAAGAAAAGAGAGCUUGUGCAGGAAAACUCCCCCUUAUAAUAACCAUCAGAUCUCAUGAGACUUACUCACUAUCACUAGAACAGCACAGGAAAGACCUGCCCUUAUGAUUCAAUUACUUCCCACUUGGUCCCUCUCACAACACGUGAGAAUUCAAGAUGAGAUUUGGGUGGGGACACAGCCAAAUAAUAUCACCUAGGUACCAAUUUUCUGUAUUAGUCCGUUCUCACAUUGCUCUAAAGAACUACCUGAGACUGGGUAAUUUAUAAAGAAAAGAAGUUUAAUUGGCUCAUGGAUCUGCAGGCUGUACAGGAAGCAUAACUGGGGAGGCCUCAGGAAACUUGUAAUCAUGGAAGAAGGCAAAGAGGAAGGAGGCACAUCUUACAUGGCUGGAGCAGGAGGAUGGGGUGGGGGCAGUGCCACACACUUUUAAACAACCAGAUCUCACAAUAGCUCAUUCACUUUUAUGAGAGCAGUAAGAGGAAAAUCUGACCCCUGAUCCAGUCACCUCCUGCCAGGUUUCACCUUCAACACUGGGGAUUCCAAUUUGACAUGAGAUUUGGGCAAGGACACAAAUCCAAACAUAUCUAUUAAAAUAAGACCAUUUUAAUAUAGACAAUUAGAGUUAUCGAUUUUCUUUUAUGCACACUUUUGACUGCAUCCUAUAAAUUUUGGUAUGUUAGGCUUUUCUUUACUUUUUUCUCAAAGAAAUUAAAGUUAGAAAAGGAAAUUAGAAGUAAUUUCUUUUGUAAUAUUUUUUUCUGCCACAUAUUUUAGUUGAAUAUGUUAAUUUCCUUAUAUUUAAUUUUCUUAAUUUUUGUUAUUGGUUUCUAAUUUCAUUCUGUUGUUGCCAGAGAACAUUCAUUGUAUGAUUUUAAAUUUAUUAAAGUUUAUAUUAUGUCAAAUAUAUGUUCUAUCAUGGAAAAUGUACCUUGUACAAUUAAAAAUAUGUAUUUUAUUGUUGUUAAAUACAACGUUCUAUAGAUGUCUAUUAGGUCUAGUUGGUUUGUUGGGUUGUUUAAGUUUCCUAUUUCUUUCUCAAACUUCUGUCUUUUAAUUCUACCAAUUAUGCACAUAGGAUACAAAGUCUCCAACUACUUAUUGUUGAAUUGUCUAUUUCUCCUUUUAGUCAGUUGUUAGAUACACAUAUAUUAUAAUUGUCAUGUCUUUCUGGUGUUUUGGCUCUUUCAGCAUUUAAAAUGUCUUCUUUACCUCUAGCAACUUCUUUUUAAAUAUACAAUCUAUUUAGUUUGAUAUUUGUAUAACCACUCUUGGUCUUUUUUGAUUGCCAUCUGCAUGGAAUCCCUGUAUCCAUCCUUUCACUUUUAAAUUAUUUGAUCAUUUAAAUAUAAAGUAUGUGUUUUUCCACAGAAUAUGAUUGAAUCAUGUCUUUCUAAUGCGUUCUGCCAGCCAUUACCUUUUGAAAUAAUGUUUAAAUCAUUUAUAGUUAAUAUAAUUACUGAUUAUGUAGGACUGAUGUAUAACAUUUUGCUCUUAGUUUUUAAUAUAUUGAUGUCUUUUUUGUCUUUCUCCUCUCUUUCUGGGAUUCCCUCAUUGCCACAUUUUUUGGACUAAUACCAACAUAAUUUCCAUAGUCUGCAGACCAAUUGCUUUAAUGUAACUCUCUUUACUUCUUUCUCAUUUGUGCCUCUACUGUCAUACAAAUUAUAACUUUAAAUAUUAUAAACAUCUUAACAGUUUUAUCAUUUAAUUUAUGCCAGUGUUUUUAAGAAAGUAAGAUAUAAAAGAGUUAUAAACAGAAAUACGUUUUAUUGUCUUUUACAUUUACUUACGUAAUUAUGUUUAUUUCUUCAUGUGGAUGCAAUUUACUGUCUAAUGCACUCUCAUUUAAGCCCAAAAGAUUUUUGUUACUAUUUUACUUUAUUAGGCAAGGCUAGCAUUUAAAUCUUUGUUUUUUAAUUAUGUUAAAAUGUUGUAAUAUUCCUUUCAAUUUUAAGGAAUAAUUUUACAAAUCUAUCAUUCCUAGUUGACAGUAUCUUCCUUUCAGCACUUUGAAUGUGGUAUCCACUGUCUUCUGGCCUCCAUAAUUUCUAAUUAGAAGUCAGCAGAAUUAUUCACAGUAGCGAACACAUGGAAUCAACCUAGGUGCACAUUAAUGGUGGAAUAGAUAAAGAAAGUGUGGUACAUGUACACCAUGAAAUACUAUGCCACCAUUAAAAAGAAUAAAAUCAUGCCUUUUGCAGCAACAUGGAUGCAACCAGAAGCCACUAUCCUAAGCAAAUUAAUACAGGAGCAGAAACCCCAAUACCACACAUUAUCACUUAUAAAUGGCAGCUAAACACUGAGUACUUAUGAACAUAAAGAUGGCAAAAUAGACACUGGGGACUACUAGAGGAGACAGGGAGAGAGUGGGGAAAAGGUUGGAAAACUGCUGGGUGUCAUGCUCAUAACCUUGGUGACAGAAUCUAUAAUACCUCAAAUCUCGGCAUCACACAAUAUCCCCAUGUAACAAACCAGCAUCAUAUGUACCCCUUAGUCUAAAAUAAAAGUUGAAAUUAAAAAAAUAUCAGCUGUUGUUAUUAUUGAAGAUCCCUUGUAAUGUAAUGAAUUAUUUCUAUCUUGCUACUUUCAAUGUUCUCUCUCUUUGGUUUUUCAUAGUUUUACUAUAAUAUACCUUGCUGUGUAGAUCUUUGAAUUUAUCCUACUUGAAGUGUGUUGUACUUCUUGGAAGCAUAGGUUAAUGUUCUUUAUCAAACUUGGAAAGCUUUUGGUCAUUAUUUCUUAAAAUAUCAUUUCUUCCAUAUUCUUUUUCUCCUCUCUUUCUGGGACCCCCACUAUGCACAGGCUGACGUGAUUCCUGGUGUCCCAUAAGUCUCUGAGGCUCUAUUUAAUUUUCCUCUUUCUUUUAUUUUUUUUUCCGCAAAUAAAACAGGAACAUAUCAACUGGCUGAUCUUCGAGGUCAACAGUUGUUUAUUCUUAUUUCUUAAAUCUGCCAUUGAGCUCCUCUAAUAAAUUUUUUAAAACGUUAUAUUUUGCAGUAAUUUUAAACAUAGACUAGAGUUGCAAAAAAUAGUACAGUGAGUUCCUGUAUAUUUUUGUUCAACUUCCACUAAAU